UCCGACCACGUGUUUAAGAGUCGGUUAGUGGACACCAUUUUGUCUUUGUCGUCUAAUUUCAGGACAGCAGAACCCGGAGAAUCUUGAAGCGAGUUUGGGUUUGCAAUUGUAAAAAAUGCUGACUAUGACUGGAAAAGUUUCGUUUAUGCUUAUUGUAUGGAUCUUCUCCACUGCUUCUUAUGCUCAAGUUCCGACUUCUGAUGAAAAGCCGACAGUAUCUUGUGCACCAGGUGAAACUAAAUGUUAUUUUGGUUGUUGUCCAUAUGCAAAUGCAACUUGUUGUUUGGAUCGUUAUCAAUGCUGCAAACAUGGAGAAACAUGUAUACCAGUAGUGGGUAUAU